UACGUAGGGUGCAAGCGUUGCUCGGAAUUAUUGGGCGUAAAGAGCUCGUAGGCGGUUUGUCGCGUCUGCCGUGAAACCCCGGGGCUUAACCCCGGGCCUGCGGUGGGUACGGGCAGUCUAGAGUGUGGUAGGGGAGACUGGAAUUCCUGGUGUAGCGGUGAAAUGCGCAGAUAUCAGGAGGAACACCGGUGGCGAAGGCGGGUCUCUGGGCCAUAACUGACGCUGAGGAGCGAAAGCGUGGGGAGCGAACAGG
rnacentral:rRNA from 1 species